GCUUCAUAGAUAUUAUAGCCUAAACAUGGAACCUGUGGAUUUUGGUAACUCAUCUUGUUGGCUUGAUUUUGUACUUUCCAAAUUCAAUGAUUGUGAAUCUCUUGAUCAGCUACUUCUGUUAAAUGCGGUUACAAAUCAAGGACGCCAGCUUCUGCGGCUUGUGAAUGAUGAAGAGUCACAGGAGGAACAAACAAAAAUCAAGGACAUUGUAUCUCAGAUCUGCACUAUCUCAAGCACUGCCAACAGCUUGGGCCNNNNNNNNNUGAAGGAGUGCUUCAAGAUGAAAACCAUGGAAGCAACUAAGUUCUUGGGGCUUCAGUCUUG
rnacentral:misc_RNA from 1 species